GGACAAUGUUGAUCCCAGGCACUCCUGCUGUGUACCCACUGCGUGGACCCCCCUCAUCCAUUGUCCUUGCCGUGCUCGUAGUCCAGGCAACUGGAAAGGGGUGUGCACGUCGUGAUGCCCAGAACCUGUGAAUCUGGGACCUUACGAGGCACAAGGGACUUUACAGACACGAUUACAUUCAGGCUUUUGAGAUGGGGAGACAGUCCUGGAUCAUGCUGUUGAGGCUGACGUCCUUACAAGUAGGAAGCAGGAGGGUCGGAGUCUGAGAAAAUGGAGAGACAGAAGCAGAGGCCAGAAUGAUGCAGGGCUUUAAACCCAGGGAUGCGGCCAGCCUCUCGAAGCUGAAUGGGACAAGGAAGUUGGACCUCCCCUGAACCCCCCCCCAGGAGGACCGCGGUCCCACCGAGGCCUGGAACCGUUAGGGAAUAAAUGCAGGUUGGUU